CAUGCUGUCGCGCGCGUCCAACCAUGAGGACGAGCGGCAGACCGCUCAGUAACACGUAGCUAACCUACCCUUGGGACGGGAACACCCCCGGGAAACUGGGGUCAAUUCCCGAUAGGCGUGAAGGCCUGGAAUGGUUUUACGCUUAAAGGCUCGGCAGUCACGUUUGUUGAGCGCCCGAGGAUGGGGCUGCGGCCGAUCAGGCUGUUGGCGAGGUAACGGCUCACCAAACCUUUGACCGGUACGGGCCAUGAAAGUGGUAGCCCGGAGAUGGGCACUGAGACAGGGGCCCAGGCCCUACGGGGCGCAGCAGGCGCGAAAACUCCACAAUGUACGGAAGUACGAUGGGGUUACCUCGAGUGCAGUCCGAUAAGGGUUGCUUUUCCAUAGAGUAAUAUCCUGNGGGAAUAAGCGGGGGGGCA
rnacentral:rRNA from 1 species